rnacentral:tRNA from 1 species
GGGCCAGUAACUCAACGGUAGAGUGUCAUCCUUAUAAGAUGAAAGCAGGUGGUUCGACCCCACCCUGGCCCA